AGCAGGCAAAUUCCAACCACCACCUCCUCGUGGUGCCGGCUGGAAACAAGGAUCUUUGGUCUUUGACGACAGAUGG
rnacentral:ribozyme from 1 species